rnacentral:rRNA from 1 species
AUGAACGCUGGCGGCGUGCUUCACACAUGCAAGUCGCACGGUGAAGGCGGAGCUUGCUCUGCUGGAUCAGUGGCGAACGGGUGAGUAACACGUGAGCAAUCUGCCCCUGACUCUGGGAUAAGCGCUGGAAACGGCGUCUAAUACUGGAUACGAGCUGCGAAGGCAUCUUCAGCAGCUGGAAAGAACUUCGGUCAGGGAUGAGCUCGCGGCCUAUCAGCUUGUUGGUGAGGUAACGGCUCACCAAGGCGUCGACGGGUAGCCGGCCUGAGAGGGUGACCGGCCACACUGGGACUGAGACACGGCCCAGACUCCUACGGGAGGCAGCAGUGGGGAAUAUUGCACAAUGGGCGAAAGCCUGAUGCAGCAACGCCGCGUGAGGGACGACGGCCUUCGGGUUGUAAACCUCUUUUAGCAGGGAAGAAGCGAAAGUGACGGUACCUGCAGAAAAAGCGCCGGCUAACUACGUG